rnacentral:lncRNA from 1 species
ACCGCUGAGUAAUAUGUUUUAGUUCCCUCUUACUAUAAAAUGUCCUGUAAUCCCACGCAUUGAGCGACUCCUCCAUUGGCGCCACUGGGCGCGCCCUCUACUGGUCAGGAGAGGCAGCGCCACGCGGGGAUCCCGUGGACUUCAGAGCCUUUCCCUUCCCUCCCCGCCAUAUUUCGGGUUAGCGCGAGGAUGGAACGUGGAGUCGUGAGUGCCCCUCGGGAAUACACGAAAGUACAUGCUGAUCGGAAGGCGGCGGCUUUCGAAAGGCCCAGCUGUGGACCGUGGAAAGGUCCUCCUUCUCUGCCGCAAAUACUGACGCGUGCAGGAGCGCACUCUCACACCCGGGGGCUCCGCGCGAGGAGAAACUUCUGCCGCGAUCCGGCUGUGGAGCCCGAGGUGGGGCGGUGCCUCUCCGAGCACUGGCGUAGCUGCGUGGCGCGGCCUCUUCCUUCAGGGCCGCGCCCCAGGGCAGGGAGACGGAAGGCUGAGCCCCGGCGCCACCCAGCGUCCUCCCGGUGCAGUGCAUGUGGGAGCCCGAAACCCGGGACACAGAUGGAGAUUGUGCCUAGGCUGGCUAGGAGAGUUAAACAACAGAUCUCCUUUAGAAGGACAAAGGGACAAAGGAACACGGGGCGUUUUUUCGCCUGUCAGACGAAUCAUUUGAAGGAUAGGAACUGGAGCGCCAGUCGUGUACUAAAUCCGGCACCCCCCUCCACACACCGAUGA